rnacentral:rRNA from 1 species
UACGGAGGAUCCAAGCGUUAUCCGGAUUUAUUGGGGUUAAAGGGUGCGUAGGCGGCUUUUUAAGUCAGGGGUGAAAGACGGUAGCUUAACUAUCGCAGUGCCCUUGAUACUGAAGAGCUUGAAUAUACUUGAGGUAGGCGGAAUGUGACAAGUAGCGGUGAAAUGCAUAGAUAUGUCACAGAACACCAAUUGCGAAGGCAGCUUACUAAGGUAUGAUUGACGCUGAGGCACGAAAGCGCGGGGAUCAAACAGG